rnacentral:piRNA from 1 species
UGGUAGAAAUAGGUAGCAACAUUGGUGAU